GUAGGAUCCGAGCGUUAUCCGAAUUUACUGGGCGUAAAGCGCGUGUAGGCGGCCGGGUAAGUUGGACGUGAAAGCUCCUGGCUCAACUAGGAGAGGUCGUUCAAAACUGCCUGGCUAGAGGGCGACAGAGGGAGGUGGAAUUCCCGGUGUAGUGGUGAAAUGCGUAGAUAUCGGGAGGAACACCAGUGGCGAAGGCGGCCUCCUGGGUCGCCCCUGACGCUCAGACGCGAAAGCUAGGGGAGCAAACGGGAUUAGAUACCCCGGUAGUCCUAGCUGUAAACGAUGUGAACUUGGCGUUGGUGGGGUCAAAUCCCAUCAGUGCCCGUAGCUAACGCGAUAAGUUCACCGCCUGGGGGACUACGGUCGCAAGAUUAA
rnacentral:rRNA from 1 species